GCCCGGGUGGCGGAAUGGUUCACGCAGGGGACUUAAAAUCCCUCCUUAAUUGGUGUGGGUUCGACUCCCACCCCGGGUACUA
rnacentral:tRNA from 1 species